UGUCAGAAUGCCAUGUUAAUACGGAUAUUUUUGUUUAUUUAUCAUUAUACAUUCAUUGUUGUUUUAUUUCAUAUGGUUGUUAAAAAAGGCUAAAAAUCUAUACGAAAAGGUGUAAAAAUGAGGGUAAAAUGUGUUAAUAAAUAUACGCCUCUAAAAUAAUAUUUGGUUAAAAAGAGGACUUUUAGUUUAGUGUUGCUUUACUGUGGAGCGUAAUGAGUCACGUGACGCGAGUUAGUUAGGCGGGUAACUGGAGAAUUAUGGGUCAGAACUAACUUGGAGGCAGAGAGAGAAGACUAACUUAGCAGCAGAGGGAGAACAACAAUUAAAGCUAACACGAGGUCUAAAGGCGCACACGUUUUCACGGUGUCCGAUGAAGGACCAGAGAGAGGGAGAGAGAAAAGGAGAAAUAAACCUUCAAAAGACAUCA